rnacentral:tRNA from 1 species
UCCCUGGUGGCUCAGACGGUAAAGAAUCUGCCUGCAAUGCAGGAGACCCGGGUUGGAUCCCUGGCUCGGCAA